rnacentral:rRNA from 1 species
AUGCAGUCGAGCGAACAGACGAGGAGCUUGCUCCUUUGACGUUAGCGGCGGACGGGUGAGUAACACGUGGGUAACCUACCUAUAAGACUGGGAUAACUUCGGGAAACCGGAGCUAAUACCGGAUAAUAUUUCGAACCGCAGGUUCGAUAGUGAAAGAUGGCUCUGCUAUCACUUAUAGAUGGACCUGCGCCGUAUUAGCUAGUUGGUAAGGUAACGGCUUACCAAGGCAACGAUACGUAGCCGACCUGAGAGGGUGAUCGGCCACACUGGAACUGAGACACGGUCCAGACUCCUACGGGAGGCAGCAGUAGGGAAUCUUCCGCAAUGGGCGAAAGCCUGACGGAGCAACGCCGCGUGAGUGAUGAAGGUCUUCGGAUCGUAAAACUCUGUUAUUAGGGAAGAACAAACGUGUAAGUAACUGUGCACGUCUUGACGGUACCUAAUCAGAAAGCCACGGCUAACUACGUGCCAGCAGCCGCGGUAAUACGUAGGUGGCAAGCGUUAUCCGGAAUUAUUGGGCGUAAAGCGCGCGUAGGCGGUUUUUUAAGUCUGAUGUGAAAGCCCACGGCUCAACCGUGGAGGGUCAUUGGAAACUGGAAAACUUGAGUGCAGAAGAGGAAAGUGGAAUUCCAUGUGUAGCGGUGAAAUGCGCAGAGAUAUGGAGGAACACCAGUGGCGAAGGCGACUUUCUGGUCUGUAACUGACGCUGAUGUGCGAAAGCGUGGGGAUCAAACAGGAUUAGAUACCCUGGUAGUCCACGCCGUAAACGAUGAGUGCUAAGUGUUAGGGGGUUUCCGCCCCUUAGUGCUGCAGCUAACGCAUUAAGCACUCCGCCUGGGAGUACGACC